GACGAACGCUGGCGGCGCGCCUAACACAUGCAAGUCGAACGAGAGAUGAGGAGCUUGCUCUUCAAAUCGAGUGGCGAACGGGUGAGUAACGCGUGAGGAACCUGCCUCAAAGAGGGGGACAACAGUUGGAAACGACUGCUAAUACCGCAUAAGCCCACAGCUCGGCAUCGAGCAGAGGGAAAAGGAGCAAUCCGCUUUGAGAUGGCCUCGCGUCCGAUUAGCUAGUUGGUGAGGUAACGGCCCACCAAGGCGACGAUCGGUAGCCGGACUGAGAGGUUGAACGGCCACAUUGGGACUGAGACACGGCCCAGACUCCUACGGGAGGCAGCAGUGGGGAAUAUUGCACAAUGGGGGAAACCCUGAUGCAGCGACGCCGCGUGGAGGAAGAAGGUCUUCGGAUUGUAAACUCCUGUUGUUGAGGAAGAUAAUGACGGUACUCAACAAGGAAGUGACGGCUAACUACGUGCCAGCAGCCGCGGUAAAACGUAGGUCACAAGCGUUGUCCGGAAUUACUGGGUGUAAAGGGAGCGCAGGCGGGAGAACAAGUUGGAAGUGAAAUCCAUGGGCUCAACCCAUGAACUGCUUUCAAAACUGUUUUUCUUGAGUAGUGCAGAGGUAGGCGGAAUUCCCGGUGUAGCGGUGGAAUGCGUAGAUAUCGGGAGGAACACCAGUGGCGAAGGCGGCCUACUGGGCACCAACUGACGCUGAGGCUCGAAAGUGUGGGUAGCAAACAGGAUUAGAUACCCUGGUAGUCCACACCGUAAACGAUGAUUACUAGGUGUUGGAGGAUUGACCCCUUCAGUGCCGCAGUUAACACAAUAAGUAAUCCACCUGGGGAGUACGACCGCAAGGUUGAAACUCAAAGGAAUUGACGGGGGCCCGCACAAGCAGUGGAGUAUGUGGUUUAAUUCGACGCAACGCGAAGAACCUUACCAAGUCUUGACAUCCCUUGACGAUGCUGGAAACAGUAUUUCUCUUCGGAGCAAGGAGACAGGUGGUGCAUGGUUGUCGUCAGCUCGUGUCGUGAGAUGUUGGGUUAAGUCCCGCAACGAGCGCAACCCUUAUGGUCAGUUACUACGCAAGAGGACUCUGGCCAGACUGCCGUUGACAAAACGGAGGAAGGUGGGGAUGACGUCAAAUCAUCAUGCCCUUUAUGACUUGGGCUACACACGUACUACGAUGGCGUUAAACAAAGAGAAGCAAGACCGCGAGGUGGAGCGAAACUCAGAAACAACGUCCCGGUUCGGACUGCAGGCUGCAACUCGCCUGCACGAAGUCGGAAUUGCUAGUAAUCGUGGUUCGGCGUGCCACGGUGAAUACGUUCCCGGGCCU
rnacentral:rRNA from 1 species